GUCUCAUCUUACCACUUCUUUGAUUUUGUCACAGUAAAGAAAAUUUAGCAGGAUGCCUUUUUUUUUUUUUUUUUUUACAUUCUAAGCAGGGGGAAAAAAGUGCAAAAUACCACAGUAAGCGUGUGUUGUUAAGAGUGCCGCCCAUACAAACUGAAGCAAGACUGAUGACAGUGACGCAGAAACAGCGUCUGCUGCUCCACAGAAUUCUCCUGUUCUUGUUUCUUUGUUACUCUUGGAUGUUUCGGAUGAUGAAACAUGUUUAAAUAUUGCAUGAAGGUAAAAUGAUUAUAUACAAAUUGCAAUUUUCAAAUGCUGAUUUCAUUUACUGAUUACUGUCAUACUUGUAGAUUCGCAAAGUGCUUUAAGCCGAACCGGUCCAGCAACAUGAAACAGGCCAAAAGAUCAUAAUGGGGGGGGGCACAAACUUAAGUCACAAUGUAAUGAAAUUCAAUAACAGAUGAAAAAAAAAAUCACUUGCGUUUAUUUAUUUGGAAAGGGUUACAAAGCCAUUUGUAACCCCAAUUGCACCCCAGUGAGAGCCAUUAUCCACAACUGGAGGAAAACAGGGGUGAACUUUUCUAAUGGCCAUUCUAAAUUUAUUCCAAUGACUUAUCCAAGACAGCAUCUUACAGCACUGCAGGCCUCGUGUGUUCAUGAUCCAACAAUAAUAAAAUGGCAAAAAUGGUAUUCAUGGAAGAAUUCAGAGACCAAAAACCCACUGGUGACCAACAAUACUAUGGAGGCCCUGCUAACAUUUUCCAAAAAACCCCCCAAAACAUUCUUAAUGGUCUCCAAGACUGUUAGAAAAAUUAUUCUGUAAAGUGACAAGACUAAACUGAAACUGGGUGUAAAAUGACAGCAUUUAAGAAAGAGAGUGUCAUACUGCUUUUCAUAUAUACUGAUGGUAGGGUCAAUGUCUGGGGCUGCUUUGUUUGACUUGUUUUUGGUUUAACCUAUAAUUCUGCUCCGUACUAAAAAACCUUGAUAGAACUUAUCUGACCAUCAGUUUGU